AGAAUCAACGCUGGCGGCGUGCCUAACACAUGUAAGUCGAACGAGAAAGUGGAGCAAUCCAUGAGUAAAGUGGCGACCGGGUGAGUAACACGUGACUAACCUACCUUCAAGUGGGGGAUAACCUCGGGAAACCGGGGCUAAUACCGCAUAACAUCUUUGGAGUGGAAAUUCUGGAGAUCAAAGGAGCAAUUCGCUGGAAGAGGGGGUCGCGGCUGAUUAGCUAGUUGGCGGGUAAUGGCCCACCAAGGCUUUGAUCGGUA
rnacentral:rRNA from 1 species